AUGACCCCUGCGGAUUUGACCCUACCUACACCCGGAGUCAAUCCCCUAGCGGUCCUGCCACCACGCCGCAAAACAGGAGCUCGUGUGGAACCUUGGAUUUCUGGCGUAACAGCGGUGGAAGGUAUCAAAAUAUUACGGCCGCAUAACAUAGUAUAUACGCUAAGGUCGGCCAAAAUAUGGACACCCGAAGGGCCCGGCGCGCACAAUCCUAUCCUAUCCGAGCCCGUCAUUGCAUGCACUUUGGACAACCGUCCGUACCAUCAUAAGGAGCACCUCCCUUUCGAGGUACCCAAAUGGAACGGUCUUUAUUUGUGUUGUUGGUUGGUCUUUCUCAACGUGGUCCAUAGCACGAAAAACCAUUCUUUACAAGAUAGGGCCGUUCACAUGAAAGAAAAUACAAAAUCCAUUCUUCAUGGUCGGGCGCAUUUCUCCAAAUCCUCCAGGAUCACAAGUGGAACGCUAAGCAAGGGUGGGGAGGCUUCGAGCUCUGCGUCGAACAGAAAGAAGCAAGAAGGGGUGUUGCCAUAG
rnacentral:rRNA from 1 species